rfam:Rocio virus strain SPH 34675, complete genome
AUGUCUAAAAAACCAGGAGGACCCGCCGGAAGGCGGGUUGUCAAUAUG